rnacentral:misc_RNA from 1 species
GGAUCUUUGCUUGAGCAACGACGUCCUUCCUUUCAAGCGUCUUCAUUUAUGGUACAAGAGCUUUGUUUACCUUGGCCUACUCGGUUUCCUGUGUUUCAUACCGUUACACGGAAUUGUUUAGUUUCAACUGUCCCAAGUUCGUCUUGUGAUGCCCGUUUUUUGACGUGUGCAUCGCUGAUGAAUCACAAAGUGCCCGUUGCUGUCCGCCUCAGCCACGUUAACCCGUGUGUUGCAUGCGGCCUGUGACAAGGUGCUUGUACUCAUGGAUGCGGAACCUUCGUAGGGUAUGGGGAUUAUCCCCUUUCUGCCCGAAAUUAUGCGUUCACCGCUAAUUAGCGAACGACCGUUGUUGUCGUCUUAGGUUGGGUGUCUCUAUGAGUCAUGCCGUGCCUGAGCGACAAUGGCGUCGAUGAGGA